rnacentral:rRNA from 1 species
AAUCCAUAGGUUAAUGAGGCGAACCGGGGGAACUGAAACAUCUAAGUACCCCGAGGAAAAGAAAUCAACCGAGAUUCCCCCAGUAGCGGCGAGCGAACGGGGAGGAGCCCAGAGCCUGAAUCAGCAUGUGUGUUAGUGGAAGCGUCUGGAAAGGCGCGCGAUACAGGGUGACAGCCCCGUACACAAAAGCGCAUGUGCUGUGAGCUCGAUGAGUAGGGCGGGACACGUGGUAUCCUGUCUGAAUAUGGGGGGACCAUCCUCCAAGGCUAAAUACUCCUGACUGACCGAUAGUGAACCAGUACCGUGAGGGAAAGGCGAAAAGAACCCCGGCGAGGGGAGUGAAAAAGAACCUGAAACCGUGUACGUACAAGCAGUGGGAGCACCCUUUGGGGUGUGACUGCGUACCUUUUGUAUAAUGGGUCAGCGACUUAUAUUCUGUAGCAAGGUUAACCGUAUAGGGGAGCCGUAGGGAAACCGAGUCUUAACCGGGCGUUAAGUUGCAGGGUAUAGACCCGAAACCCGGUGAUCUAGCCAUGGGCAGGUUGAAGGUUGGGUAACACUAACUGGAGGACCGAACCGACUAAUGUUGAAAAAUUAGCGGAUGACCUGUGGCUGGGGGUGAAAGGCCAAUCAAACCGGGAGAUAGCUGGUUCUCCCCGAAAGCUAUUUAGGUAGCGCCUCGUGAAUUCAU